rnacentral:rRNA from 1 species
AAACUUUCCAACAACGGAUCUCUUGGUUCUGGCAUCCAUGAAGAACGCACCGAAAUGCGAUAAGUAAUGUGAAUUGCAAAAUUCAGUGAAUCAUCGAAUCUUUGAACGCACAUUGCGCCCGCCAGUAUUCUGGCGGGCAUGCCUGUCCGAGCGUCAUUU